rnacentral:rRNA from 1 species
GAUGAACGCUGGCGGCGUGCCUAAUACAUGCAAGUCGAGCGAACGGACGAGAAGCUUGCUUCUCUGAUGUUAGCGGCGGACGGAUGAGUAACACGUGGAUAACCUACCUAUAAGACUGGGAUAACUUCGGGAAACCGGAGCUAAUACCGGAUAAUAUUUUGAACCGCAUGGUUCAAAAGUGAAAGACGGUCUUGCUGUCACUUAUAGAUGGAUCCGCGUUGCAUUAGCUAGUUGGUAAGGUAACGGCUUACCAAGGCAACGAUGCAUAGCCGACCUGAGAGGGUGAUCGGCCACACUGGAACUGAGACACGGUCCAGACUCCUACGGGAGGCAGCAGUAGGGAAUCUUCCGCAAUGGGCGAAAGCCUGACGGAGCAACGCCGCGUGAGUGAUGAAGGUCUUCGGAUCGUAAAACUCUGUUAUUAGGGAAGAACAUAUGUGUAAGUAACUGUGCACAUCUUGACGGUACCUAAUCAGAAAGCCACGGCUAACUACGUG